GUGAGCCACUUCGCCUGGCCUGAGAAUUUUUUUUUCCUUUUUUUCCCUUUCUUUCAAAACCUGCAUGAUUCUUACAAAAAAACAAUUUUAGAUAAUGCUGGUCUAGAUGAUGUUCUUUCUUUUGAAGGUUUCAAGUGGAUUUCUGUAGGCAAAAUAUUUUAAUCCAGCUAUUCAUAUUUCUUUGCCUUAUUUCUAAAACACUUCAGGCCUGAGGACUUGCGCCGUGAGUUUGGUCGAUAUGGCCCUAUAGUAGACGUUUACAUUCCACUUGACUUCUACACUCGCCGCCCAAGAGGAUUUGCUUAUGUUCAAUUUGAAGAUGUUCGAGAUGCUGAAGACGCUCUUUAUAACCUCAAUAGAAAGUGGGUAUGUGGCCGUCAAAUUGAAAUACAGUUUGCACAAGGUGAUCGCAAAACACCAGGGCAGAUGAAAUCAAAAGAACGUCAUCCUUGUUCUCCAAGUGAUCACAGGAGAUCAAGAAGCCCCAGCCAAAGAAGAACUCGAAGUAGAAGUUCUUCAUGGGGAAGAAAUAGGAGGCGGUCAGACAGCCUUAAAGAGUCUCGACACAGGCGAUUUUCUUAUAGCCAGUCUAAAUCUCGUUCCAAAUCAUUACCAAGGCGGUCUACCUCAGCAAGGCAGUCAAGAACUCCAAGAAGGAAUUUUGGCUCUAGAGGACGGUCAAGGUCCAAGUCCUUACAAAAAAGGUCCAAGUCAAUAGGAAAAUCACAGUCAAGUUCACCUCAAAAGCAGACUAGCUCAGGAACAAAAUCAAGAUCACAUGGAAGACAUUCUGACUCAAUAGCAAGAUCCCCGUGUAAAUCUCCCAAAGGGUAUACCAAUUCUGAAACUAAAGUACAAACAGCAAAGCAUUCUCAUUUUCGGUCACAUUCCAGAUCUCGAAGUUACCGUCAUAAAAACAGUUGGUGAACAGCAACAGAAAGAGCACCACGCAGUCUUUAAUAUAAGUUAAACUCUCAUUAUGUUAAAUAAAAAUUCUUUAAGGCA